GUAAGCCUGUGAAGGUGUGCUGUGAGGCAUGCUGGAGGUAUCAGAAGUGCGAAUGCUGACAUAAGUAACGAUAAAGCGGGUGAAAAGCCCGCUCGCCGGAAGACCAAGGGUUCCUGUCCAACGUUAAUCGGGGCAGGGUGAGUCGACCCCUAAGGCGAGGCCGAAAGGCGUAGUCGAUGGGAAACAGGUUAAUAUUCCUGUACUUGGUGUUACUGCGAAGGGGGGACGGAGAAGGCUAUGUUGGCCGGGCGACGGUUGUCCCGGUUUAAGCGUGUAGGCUGGUUUUCCAGGCAAAUCCGGAAAACUAAGGCUGAGGCGUGAUGACGAGGCACUACGGUGCUGAAGCAACAAAUGCCCUGCUUCCAGGAAAAGCCUCUAAGCAUCAGGUAACAUCAAAUCGUACCCCAAACCGACACAGGUGGUCAGGUAGAGAAUACCAAGGCGCUUGAGAGAACUCGGGUGAAGGAACUAGGCAAAAUGGUGCCGUAACUUCGGGAGAAGGCACGCUGAUAUGUAGGUGAAGUCCCUCGCGGAUGGAGCUGAAAUCAGUCGAAGAUACCAGCUGGCUGCAACUGUUUAUUAAAAACACAGCACUGUGCAAACACGAAAGUGGACGUAUACGGUGUGACGCCUGCCCGGUGCCGGAAGGUUAAUUGAUGGGGUCAGCGCAAGCGAAGCUCUUGAUCGAAGCCCCGGUAAACGGCGGCCGUAACUAUAACGGUCCUAAGGUAGCGAAAUUCCUUGUCGGGUAAGUUCCGACCUGCACGAAUGGCGUAAUGAUGGCCAGGCUGUCUCCACCCGAGACUCAGUGAAAUUGAACUCGCUGUGAAGAUGCAGUGUACCCGCGGCAAGACGGAAAGACCCCGUGAACCUUUACUAUAGCUUGACACUGAACAUUGAGCCUUGAUGUGUAGGAUAGGUGGGAGGCUUUGAAGUGUGGACGCCAGUCUGCAUGGAGCCGACCUUGAAAUACCACCCUUUAAUGUUUGAUGUUCUAACGUUGACCCGUAAUCCGGGUUGCGGACAGUGUCUGGUGGGUAGUUUGACUGGGGCGGUCUCCUCCUAAAGAGUAACGGAGGAGCACGAAGGUUGGCUAAUCCUGGUCGGACAUCAGGAGGUUAGUGCAAUGGCAUAAGCCAGCUUGACUGCGAGCGUGACGGCGCGAGCAGGUGCGAAAGCAGGUCAUAGUGAUCCGGUGGUUCUGAAUGGAAGGGCCAUCGCUCAACGGAUAAAAGGUACUCCGGGGAUAACAGGCUGAUACCGCCCAAGAGUUCAUAUCGACGGCGGUGUUUGGCACCUCGAUGUCGGCUCAUCACAUCCUGGGGCUGAAGUAGGUCCCAAGGGUAUGGCUGUUCGCCAUUUAAAGUGGUACGCGAGCUGGGUUUAGAACGUCGUGAGACAGUUCGGUCCCUAUCUGCCGUGGGCGCUGGAGAACUGAGGGGGGCUGCUCCUAGUACGAGAGGACCGGAGUGGACGCAUCACUGGUGUUCGGGUUGUCAUGCCAAUGGCACUGCCCGGUAGCUAAAUGCGGAAGAGAUAAGUGCUGAAAGCAUCUAAGCACGAAACUUGCCCCGAGAUGAGUUCUCCCUGACUCCUUGAGAGUCCUGAAGGAACGUUGAAG
rnacentral:rRNA from 1 species